AUUGAACGCUGGCGGCAGGCCUAACACAUGCAAGUCGAACGAGAGGCGGACGGGCGAGUAAUGUCUGGGAAACUGCCUGAUGGAGGGGGAUAACUGCUGGAAACGGUAGCUAAAACCGCAUACCAUCGGAUGUGCCCAGGUGGGAUGAGGUAGUAGUUGGGGUAACGGCUCCCCUAGGCGACGAUCCCUAGCUGGUCUUAGAGGAUGACCAGCCAAACUGGAACUGAGACACGGUCCAGACUCCUACGGGAGGCAGCAGGGGGGAAUAUUGCACAAUGGGCGCAAGCCUGAUGCAGCCAUGCCGCGUGUAUGAAGAAGGCCUUCGGGUUGUAAAGUACUUUCAGCGGGGAGGCGUUACCCGCAGAAGAAGCACCGGCUAACUCCGUGCCAGCCGCCGCGGUAAUAC
rnacentral:rRNA from 1 species